rnacentral:tRNA from 1 species
CGACCGUUGGCUGAAUGGCUUAGGCGAAGGAUUGCAAAUCCUUUUUUAUGUGAGUUCAAAUCUCAUGCGGUCGU